AUUGAACGCUGGCGGCAUGCCUUACACAUGCAAGUCGAACGGCAGCGGACCUUCGGGUGCCGGCGAGUGGCGAACGGGUGAGUAAUGCAUCGGAACGUGCCAUUGAGUGGGGGAUAACGUAGCGAAAGUUGCGCUAAUACCGCAUAUUCUGUGCGCAGGAAAGCAGGGGACCGCAAGGCCUUGCGCUCUUUGAGCGGCCGAUGUCAGAUUAGCUAGUUGGUGAGGUAACGGCUUACCAAGGCGACGAUCUGUAGCGGGUCUGAGAGGAUGAUCCGCCACACUGGAACUGAGACACGGUCCAGACUCCUACGGGAGGCAGCAGUGGGGAAUUUUGCACAAUGGGCGCAAGCCUGAUGCAGCAACGCCGCGUGCAGGAUGACGGUCCUAUGGAUUGUAAACUGCUUUUGUCAGAGACGAAAGUGUAUGAUUUAUCAUAUUUUGACGGUAUCUGGCGAAUAAG
rnacentral:rRNA from 1 species